rnacentral:rRNA from 1 species
GAUGAACGCUGGCGUCUGCUUAACACAUGCAAGUCGAACGGGCUCUUCGGAGCUAGUGGCGGACGGGUGAGUAACGCGUGAGAAUCUGCCUUCAGGAGGGGGAUAACGACUGGAAACGGUCGCUAAUACCCCAUGUGCCUCCGGGUGAAAAGUAAUUCGCCUGAAGAUGAGCUCGCGUCAGAUUAGCUAGUUGGUGGGGUAAGAGCCUACCAAGGCGACGAUCUGUAGCUGGUCUGAGAGGAUGAUCAGCCACACUGGGACUGAGACACGGCCCAGACUCCUACGGGAGGCAGCAGUGGGGAAUUUUCCGCAAUUGGGCGCAAGCCUUGACGGAGCAAGACCGC